rnacentral:piRNA from 1 species
GUCUACAGGACUGACAGACAGCAGGCUG